CCAGGUGCUAACGACCUUGGUAUUCCAAAGGCUCAACUUGAGGCCCAUUAGAUAUCUUUACAGCAACAAAUUGAGAACUCAGAGGCAAGGAAGUACAUAUUAAAUGAACUCAAUGGCACUGCGAGUAAACACCAAGCAUGUCGUGAAAUGUGACAUACAACUCAUAUGGAGUCGAAU